rnacentral:rRNA from 1 species
ACGGAAGGCAGCAGUGAGGAAUAUUGGUCAAUGGGCGGAAGCCUGAACCAGCCAAGUCGCGUGAAGGAUGAAGGUAUUAUGUAUUGUAAACUUCUUUAGACGCAGAGAAAUAAGGCGCUCGAGAGCGCUGAUGCUAGUAUGCGUAGAAUAAGGAUCGGCUGACUCCGUGCCAGCAGCCGCGGUAAUACGGAGGAUGCGAGCGUUAUCCGGAUUUAUUGGGUUUAAAGGGUGCGCAGGCGGUCUUUUAAGUCAGUGGUCAAAUCGUGGUGCUCAACGCCAUCCCGCCAUUGAUACUGGGAGACUUGAUUGCGGUUGAGGUAGGCGGAAUUCGCCGUGUAGCGGUGAAAUGCAUAGAUAUGACGAAGAACACCGAUUGCGUAGGCAGCUUACCAAGCCGUAAAUGACGCUCAUGCACGAAAGUGCGGGGAUCGAACAGGAUUAGAUACCCUGGUA